GAAGUUUCAAACAAAAUAUGCAUUGCCAUAUUUGCAUUUGAGAAGAAUCAAGCUGGGGUCACUACCUGUGGCCAGUAGAUUAGAUGGUGUCAGGCAAAGUUGACCAACCAGGUGAUCCAAAGACCCCAGCUGUGCCCAUAACUUCUUUAUGAUCUCAUGCAAGGUCAUAAACUCCACCCAAGUUCUUUGAGCCUCAGUUUUGUCUUCUGUAAAAUGUAAGAAGCAAUAACUACCUCUUAGGGAUGUAUAGAGAGAAUUCCCGCAGGAGAGAGAUGGCAUAUUUCAAAUUGAGACUAUUCGAUCCAGGGGCUGGUCAUCAAGAUGGAGCAGGGUAUAGAGAAGCCAUUAGGGAUGAUACAGAACACCACCAAAGGGUUAGUAACGGUGGGGAACUGUUUGCACCCCGAAGCCUGAAAGAGUGAAGUAGGGUGGGAUUACCUGGAAAGAGAGAGAGAGACAGAAGGAGAAUGAGAUUGAGGGAAGGGCUGCCUGGCAGGGGAAGCUGACGCCUUCAGGCAAGUGAAGAAGCCAGCCCGCAGCAACUCUGCAGGGAAGAAUAUAGGGAAAUAAACGCCUUCAUCUCUCUCUUGUCCCACCCGCAGAGCUCCUUCUGGGAUUCUCUAUUGGCUGAACUCAGCCAGAAGCUGCCAAGGGAGACCCCCACAACUGGAUGCAGCCCACUGAAGUCAGCUUCCUGGGGUGCGUAGCUGAAGGUAGCAGGGAGCAAAAAGAAUCUGAAGGGGAAGUGAACAAUGUAGAGCGUAUCUGUGCUGAAGACGUAAGGAGAGAGUGGAGGUCAGAAGCUGGCAUGGUCCCUGGUGCAUGUAUCAGCCGCUAAAGAAGUGGAGAGUAUGAACAUAAGCAAGAGGAAGUGAUGAGUAUCCCUUCCAGGAGAACUCUAAGAGGCAGUGAGUGAUUUGCUGGGCUCCCAAGCCCUCUGCUCUGAUGACAGCAAAGCCCCAAAUCAUGGUGCCUCCAUCAGUCGGGACCCCUCAGCAGAGCCAGCUUCACAGCUGGAGUGGAUGAAUCAGAACUUUCCCCAUGGGAGCAUUUAUAAAAAGGGGACACCCAGCGCAGAAGAUGUUUUCCAGGGAGAUCUCGGGGAGCCCAACAAGCCAAGAAGAGCAGAGCAAAGCAUUCCAAGGAAGGACUCUAAGUCUGCAACCGAGCACACACGAGGAUGGGAAUAGGGACAUCUGCUGCAUUUGGCUGUUGGAGAAACACAAGGAAAUCAUGGACAAGUGCCAGGUGUGGUGACACUCGUCUGUAGUCCUAGCAGCUCAGGAGGCUGAGACGGGAGGAUCCCUUGAGUGCAGGAGUUUGAGGCUGCAGUGAGCUAUAAUGGUACUACUAUACUCCAGCCUGCACAAUGCAACAAAACCACAUCUGUAAUCAUCAUCAUCAUGAUCAGAGCAAACCCUACUCAGUGGCUCACCCCAGCGUGUGAUCCUAUGUGUUAAUUCCCUCCUAUACAUGAGGGCUGCACAAGCUCAGAUGGGCUUAUUCUACUGAAAAUUCAGAUAAACAUGGAGAAAAGGUGGGAGGGCAGGUGGGCUGGAGAGGUGCAGUAGGGCAGUCCGGAAGAAGAGGAGCAGCACGUGGUGGAAAAAACUGAGAUGGGCCCUAAGUCUCAGCAGGGCCAGGUCACUGGCUUGUGACCCCUGCAGUCUCUCAGAACCCUGAAGGCCUGGAGCUCUGUUUAAUGCUCUGUCACCUAUGGUCAUGAAAUUCUUAUUAUGGGAUAAGAUCCCUUGUCCAAACAAGGGUCUCUGCAUUGUCAUUUUGCACUGGGUCCUGCAAGUUAUUUGCUAAUCCUGAGUCUCAGCCUAUGUAGCCCUUCUAUGACUGCAUUUCGGCUUCUGCAUCUGCAAAACAGCUACAUUAGAUGGGGACCGAGGGAGGCUAAGGGUGAUGCCUGCCCACCUCUGAGAGCCUUCCUGAGCUAUUGGUAAGCACUUCCCUAUGCCCAGCGAGGUGCUUGACACUAAAUAAAUGUUAAACACCCCAGUGAGUUUUAGACUCAAUGACGCCCAAAUGCCUAGCUGUGGAAUAGUGAGGAGUUAAAUCAAAGGAAUUUGGAGCCAGGCAGACGUGGGUUCAAAUCCUAACCCUUCCACUCACUGGUCAUGGGACCUUGGGCAAAUUCCCGUACUUUUCUGCAACAGGCUGACUUCAUCGCUAAAAUGAGGAUGAUAAUAGUCUCUCCUGCCUAGGUUGUUGGAUAAGCGGGGGAGUUACGUGAAAUUAUGUGUGUUAAGUACCAUGCCGGGCAUUUAAACAGUAACUGCUAACAUUCGUUUAUUUACCAUCUGAACACCUACUUUGUGCCAGGCACUGUGCAAGUCUUUGAGGAUACAGUGGUAAACAAGACAGUCGCAGCCCUGACGUGGAGGUGGAAUGUAAACAAAAAAGCAGGCAAGGGUGGCAGGUGCCUUCAGAUGGUGGCACACACACUCUAAGCAUCUUAGUAGAACAAGGGCAAAGAGUGGGGCUAGGCUGCGGGGCGUGUGACAGUCCCUUCCCAUUCAGAAAUUAAACUCUCUGUGAGCUACAGCCAAAGAUUUCAAUCCCACUCUCCAAUGCAUCUCUGUUGUAGAAGAGAAUUAUUUUCCAGAAAUUCCCAGAAGAUUCCCCCACCUCUAUGUCUGGAGAUGGUGCUAGGUUUCUCCCAUCUCCAGGAAGGCAAAUGACCUCUCCCCCAGAACCCCAAACAAAUUCCCCUCACCAGGAGCCCUCAGACCCCACCCUGGAGCUUGUGAGCGCUAAGAACGAGCAGAAAGGGAAAUGAACAAAUUAUCUUGAUAAUUUGUUUAAGAAGGGGAAAAAAAGUCACCCAAGAAAAAUGAUAUCCAAU
rnacentral:lncRNA from 1 species